GAUGAACGCUGGCGGCGUGCCUAAUACAUGCAAGUCGAGCGAACAGACGAGGAGCUUGCUCCUCUGACGUUAGCGGCGGACGGGUGAGUAACACGUGGAUACCUACCUAUAAGACUGGGAUAACUUCGGGAAACCGGAGCUAAUACCGGAUAAUAUAUUGAACCGCAUGGUUCAAUAGUGAAAGACGGUUUUGCUGUCACUUAUAGAUGGAUCCGCGCCGCAUUAGCUAGUUGGUAAGGUAACGGCUUACCAAGGCAACGAUGCGUAGCCGACCUGAGAGGGUGAUCGGCCACACUGGAACUGAGACACGGUCCAGACUCCUACGGGAGGCAGCAGUAGGGAAUCUUCCGCAGUGGGCGAAAGCCUGACGGAGCAACGCCGCGUGAGUGAUGAAGGUCUUCGGAUCGUAAAACUCUGUUAUUAGGGAAGAACAAAUGUGUAAGUAACUAUGCGCGUCUUGACGGUACCUAAUCAGAAAGCCACGGCUAACUACGUG
rnacentral:rRNA from 1 species